UACGUAGGGUGCAAGCGUUAUCCGGAAUUAUUGGGCGUAAAGAGCUCGUAGGCGGUUUGUCGCGUUGUUCGUGAAAACUCACAGCUUAACUGUGGGCGUGCGGGCGAUACGGGCAGACUUGAGUACUGCAGGGGGAGACUGGAAUUCCUGGUGUAGCGGUGGAAUGCGCAGAUAUCAGGAGGAACACCGGUGGCGAAGGCGGGUCUCUGGGCAGUAACUGACGCUGAGGAGCGAAAGCGUGGGGAGCGAACAGGAUAGAUACC
rnacentral:rRNA from 1 species